GACGAACGCUGGCGGCGUGCUUAACACAUGCAAGUCGAACGAAAAGAGGGAAAGAGCUUGCUCUUUCCGGAAUUGAGUGGCAAACGGGUGAGUAACACGUAAACAACCUGCCUUCAGGAUGGGGACAACAGACGGAAACGACUGCUAAUACCGAAUAAGUUCCAAGGGCCGCAUGGCCCAUGGAAGAAAAGGUGGCCUCUACCUGUAAGCUAUCGCCUGAAGAGGGGUUUGCGUCUGAUUAGCUGGUUGGAGGGGUAACGGCCCACCAAGGCGACGAUCAGUAGCCGGUCUGAGAGGAUGAACCGCCAAACUGGAACUGAGACACGGUCCAGACUCCUACGGGAGGCAGCAGUGGGGAAUCUUCCGCAAUGGGCGAAAGCCUGACGGAGCAACGCCGCGGGAGUGAUGACGGCCUUCGGGUUGUAAAACUCUGUGAUCCGGGACGAAAAGGCAGAGUGCGAAGAACAAACUGCAUUGACGGUACCGGAAAAGCAAGCCACGGCUAACUACGUG
rnacentral:rRNA from 1 species